GCGUCGGUGGUAUAACGGUUAGCAUAGCUGCCUUCCAAGUAGUUGACUCGGUUCGACUCCCGGCCGACGCA
rnacentral:tRNA from 1 species